CGACCCCAUAUUAGGCGAGAACACCCGUUGAGUUUAAGCAUAUAAUUAAGCGGAGGAAAAUAAACUUACAAGGAUUCCCCUAGUAACAGAGAGCGAAUCGAGAAGAGCCCAGCAUGAAAAUCGGGUGGCAGCGUCGCCUGAAUUGUAGUCUGUAGAAGCGUCCUUAGUGGUGGACUGGGCCCAAGUCCCCUGGAAGGGGGCGCCUGAGAGGGUGACAGCCCCGUCGGGCUGGGACCUUGCCGCACCAUGAGGCGUUGUCGGCGAGUCGGUUUGUUUGGGAAUGCAGCCCUAAUCAGGUGGUAAAUUUUGUCCAAGGCUAAAUACGGGUGAGAGACUGAUAGAGAACAAGUACCAUGAGGGAAAGAUGAAAAGGACUUUGAAAAGAGAGUUAAAGAGUGCUUGAAAUUGUCGGGAGGGAAGCAGAUGGAGGUCGGCGAUGCAUCUCGGUCGGAUGCGAAAUGACUCAAGCUGGUUCGCCGCUCGACUCGAGGUGCGAACCAGCACAGGCCGUUGCAUCGGCACAAGCACGGGUGGAGUACUGCCUAUUGGUUUGUCGUUGUGGCGGUCGAGGAACAAAGCAUGCACUCUUGGGGUGGGCCACUGUGCACCUGCACGCUUGUGGUGUUGGUUGUUGGGCUUUCCAUUCGACCCGUCUUGAAACACGGACCAAGGAGUCUAACAUGUGUGCGAGUCGAUGGGUUUGUAAACCUACGAGGUGUAAGGAAGCUGAUGGGUGAGAACCCCUCUCCAUGGGGUGAAUUGCCGACCGACCUUGAGCUUGUGCGAAGGGUUCAAGUGCGAGCACACGUGUUGGGACCCGAAAGAUGGUGAACUAUGCCUGAGUAGGGCGAAGCCAGAGGAAACUCUGGUGGAGGCCCGUAGCGAUAUUGACGUGCAAAUCGUUCAUCUAACUUGGGUAUAGGGGAAAAAUACUAAUCGAACCAUCUAGUAGCUGGUUUCCUCCAAAUUUUCCCUCAGGAUAGUUGGAGCUCACGUGCGAGUUUUAUCGGGUAAAGCAAAUGAUUAAAGGCAUCAGGGGCAUAACGCCCUCAACCUAUUCUCAAACUUUAAAUACGUAAGACGGUGCAGCUAGAAGUGGUGCUUGUCACUCCUUGACUAUAUCUUGACCCACAGUAGGGGUGUCGCUUCGGCACCCCCAGGGGCCCAUGUCACUUGCGAACCUCAGCUGGGAAGCGUCUUGGUCGGGGCAGCUUUGAAGUUCAAUUUCAAAUGUUCAUUGAGAAGAAUCCUUUGCAGACGACUUAAAUACAUGACAGGGUAUUGUAAGUGGCAGAGUGGCCUUGCUGCCAUGAUCCACUGAGAUUCAUCCCUUCGUCACCUCGAUUCAG
rfam:Picea glauca, whole genome shotgun sequence.